UACGUAGGGGGCGAGCGUUGUCCGGAAUUAUUGGGCGUAAAGAGCGUGUAGGCGGUUCGGUAAGUCUGCCGUGAAAACCUGGGGCUCAACCCCGGGCGUGCGGUGGAUACUGCCGGGCUAGAGGGUGGUAGAGGCGAGUGGAAUUCCUGGUGUAGCAGUGAAAUGCGUAGAUAUCAGGAGGAAUACCGAUGGCGAAGGCAGGUCUCUGGGCUGACACUGACGCUCAUGCACGAAAGCGUGGGGAGCAAACAGG
rnacentral:rRNA from 1 species